AUUGAACGCUGGCGGCAGGCUUAAUACAUGCAAGUCGAACGAGUGGCGGACGGGUGAGUAAGGCUUGGGAAUCUAGCUUACGGAGGGGGAUAACUACGGGAAACUGUAGCUAAUACCGCGUAACACAGGAUGGGCCCAAGUGGGAUUAGGUAGUUGGUGAGGUAAAGGCUCACCAAGCCGACGAUCUCUAGCUGGUCUGAGAGGAUGACCGGCCACACGUGGACUGAGACACGGCCCAGACUCCUACGGGAGGCAGCAGUGGGGAAUAUUGCGCAAUGGGGGCAACCUGACGCAGCCAUGCCGCGUGAAUGAAGAAGGCCUUCGGAUUGUAAAAUUCUUUCGGUAGCGAGGCGUUAACUACAGAAGAAGCACCGGCUAACUCCGUGCCAGCAGCCGCGGUAAUUC
rnacentral:rRNA from 1 species